GUAGGUGUUGCUGGGAUGUGGAGUCUGUGGCACUGGAGCAGAGGUAAACUUUUUCUCCGGUGCAGGACUCUGGUAAAAAGAACCCCAGUAGUAACAAUUGGCAAGCCAGGCAGGAGCCAGAGAUGGAUCAACGGCAUCAAGUUGGAAACUACAGGCAAACCAACUGGACCUUCAAAACCUUCAUGAAAAGGACUUUAAAAAAAAUACAGUUAAGAAUGGAGCCUGACAACCUACUCAAAACCUUACAAGAUCUGACCUUGCAGCAAAAAAGUCAAGGAGGUCCAUAACACAACUAAUAGGACCUUGGUCGUGAUUAAAAAAAAUCAAGAGAGACUAUUUCAGUCUUACAAAAUGUUA